GGCUAUAGCUCAGUGGUAGAGUUUUUGCCUAGCAUCCAUGAGGUCCUAGGUUCAAUUCCUACUACUGCCA
rnacentral:tRNA from 1 species